AGCACCAUCAUCAGAGACAUAGCACGAAACCUUGUCCACAGGAUAGUCACAAGCAAGAAUGGAGAGAACAGUAUUUGCAGUAAUAAGUGGAGGUUCUUUUAGGGGAUCCACUGUACUAACAAAUAUAUCUACAGGGGCUAACCCAGAAGGCUUCCCUUCUUUCUCAUACCUCAGAGAUAGCCUAUCCAAGUAUGUCUCUCGACGAAUUGGACACCAUUUAGGUAACUG
rnacentral:misc_RNA from 1 species